AUAUUGAAUUUUACCUGAUUCCUUCCGUGUUGUAUUUUUUCAAAAUGCAAUGAAAGCGUUUUAUCAAGAGGAAGUGGUUCACAGAAUAACACAGCAUAUGGUUAAAGGUUCUUGCAAUGUUUGGGGGAGGAGGAAGGGGAAGCCGAGGCUCCUGUGUAGCAUAAAACAGGAAACAGAAGCAUCUCUAAAGUUACAAAUCAUAUCAAAUAAUUCACUCAGCAGAGAACUAAGAUGAAGAAACCUCUCGGGCCGACUUAACCGACUUUGCGCUGUACCGCUGAGAAUCUACCCCAACUGGACUUUUGCUUGCAAUAUGUCACCAAACUGUGUGUCAAGAUUACCAACAACCUGUGGGGUGCAGUGGCUCAUGCCUGUGAUCCCAGCACUUUGGGAGGUCAAGAGGCCAAUGUACUUUGAAGCCAAUAAAGAAGCUUACAUUUCAGGGCUUCUCACUUGCAGGACCCUUCUGAUGCCGCAUGUCUCCUCUGGCACCCCAGCAGCAGCACACAACACUGUUCUCUUGCUGGC